UGCAGGUAUUCAAGAAUUCCUCUGCACAAAGUCAGCGAGCAGAAACACCUUGGUUAAAGAGAGCACCUUCUAUUUGAAUGAGGGAGCAAAGAGCCAAGCCAAGAGAAGUUUUUCCUUGAUCUAUUGAUUGAGCCACACAAUGUCCUUGAAGAGAAGAAGCAGGACAUGAGUGUAUGAGAACUCUCCUGGCACAUUGCUCAUUCAAGAUUGACUAGAUGAUUCCAGAGAAAAAGAAGAGAAAAAUGGAAUAAGAAUUUGUACCACCUGUGGGGCCUGUGGAAAGAAGAGUCUGGAAUUGUUGACAGGUCAUGACUGGCAUGUGGCUAUUACUUGAGCUCUGUAUGCCUCAGACACCCAAAACAUUGACGACCACAUGGGAUGGUGUAAAUGUCUGAGCCUCUGGUCAUUGCAGAAUUUCUAUAUGGGAGAGUAGGUCCUACUUGGUGAAGUUCCUACCACCUCCUAUUUGCUGCACAAGACAAUAUAGGUUAAAUCCAAAGAUUUUCACAUUGUUUAAAGUUUUUUCCAUCUCUGUUUUAAUUAGUACUAAUCCUGUCUCAGAUAAAUAUUUGAUCAGAACUGCCCUGCCUUAUAUGCUGCAUUAUUUGUGACCAGCAAGAUGUAAAACUGGGAGGAACAGUGGUUAGCACAUUACGUGGGUGGGGAGGAAAAUAAAGAGCACAGACCUUC